GUGGGGAAUAUUGGACAAUGGGCGCAAGCCUGAUCCAGCCAUGCCGCGUGAGUGAAGAAGGCCUUCGGGUUGUAAAGCUCUUUUGUCCGGAAAGAAAAGCUGCCGGUUAAUACCCGGUGGUUAUGACGGUACCGGAAGAAUAAGCACCGGCUAACUUCGUGCCAGCAGCCGCGGUAAUACGAAGGGUGCAAGCGUUACUCGGAAUUACUGGGCGUAAAGCGUGCGUAGGUGGUUCGUUAAGUCUGAUGUGAAAGCCCUGGGCUCAACCUGGGAAUGGCAUUGGAAACUGGCGACCUAGAGUGCGGUAGAGGGUAGUGGAAUUCCCGGUGUAGCAGUGAAAUGCGUAGAGAUCGGGAGGAACAUCCGUGGCGAAGGCGACUACCUGGACCAGCACUGACACUGAGGCACGAAAGCGUGGGGAGCAAACAGGAUUAGAAACCCUGGUAGUCC
rnacentral:rRNA from 1 species